rnacentral:lncRNA from 1 species
GGGUUAUACAACGGAGCGGACACUCCAAAGACGCAUUAAAGAUAAGUUGGGUAUAGUUUCUUAUUGUGUGUCAAGAAUAAAUCCCAAGAACAGCAGUUUCAAUGGAAGGAGUUUUUGAAAGAUUUUGCGAAGAUGGACAGAUGGGUUGCCGAUGAUCUGUGACAGAUUAAUUUGGUGGGAUCAUACAAACGUGCGAUGGUUUUAGGAAUGGGUCAUCAUCUUGUGAGCCUCCGGUUGAAAUCUCUGUCUGCACUGGUUGAAGAGGUUAGUCAUUCAUUAAUUUAUUUCUUUAAUUAGGUAAAU